rnacentral:rRNA from 1 species
UGGGGAAUAUUGGACAAUGGGGGCAACCCUGAUCCAGCAAUGCCGCGUGUGUGAAGAAGGCCUUCGGGUUGUAAAGCACUUUUAUCGGGAACGAAACAUUGUCGGCCAAUACCCGGCAAGACUGACGGUACCCGAGGAAUAAGCACCGGCUAACUACGUGCCAGCAGCCGCGGUAAUACGUAGGGAGCAAGCGUUGUUCGGAUUUACUGGGCGUAAAGGGCGCGUAGGCGGCGCGGUAAGUCACUUGUGAAAUCUCUGAGCUUAACUUAGAACGGCCAGAUGAUACUGCUGUGCUAGAGUGCGGAAGAGGCAACCUGAAUUCUUGGUGUAGCGGUGAAAUGCGUAGAUAUCAAGAGGAACACCUGAGGCGAAGGCGGGUUGCUGGGCCGACACUGACGCUGAUGCGCGAAAGCCAGGGGAGCAAACG